rnacentral:rRNA from 1 species
GAUGACGCUGGCGGCGUGCCUAAUACAUGCAAGUAGAACGCUGAAGCUUGGUGCUUGCACCGAGCGGAUGAGUUGCGAACGGGUGAGUAACGCGUAGGUAACCUGCCUCUUAUCGGGGGAUAACUAUUGGAAACGAUAGCUAAUACCGCAUAAAAGUCGAUAUCGCAUGAUAUUGAUUUGAAAGGUGCAAAUGCAUCACUAAGAGAUGGACCUGCGUUGUAUUAGCUAGUUGGUGAGGUAACGGCUCACCAAGGCAACGAUACAUAGCCGACCUGAGAGGGUGAUCGGCCACCCUGGGACUGAGACACGGCCCAGACUCCUACGGGAGGCAGCAGUAGGGAAUCUUCGGCUAUGGACGGAAGUCUGACCGAGCAACGCCGCGUGAGUGAAGAAGGUUUUCCGACCGUAAAGCUCUGUUGUAAGAGAAGAACGAGUGUGAGAGUGGAAAGUUCACACUGUGACGGC